GUUAUACAAAUAAUGCAAAUAAAUUUUAUUAGUUUAAGUAAAAUUUUAAUUNAAAAAAUAAAAANUAAUUUUAUUAGGUGAAAUUUUAAAAUUAUUUAAUUUUUAUUUAAAAUAAUUGAGUCUUAAAAAUUUUAUAUAAAAACUAGGAUUAGAUACCCUAUUAUUUAAAAUAUAUUUAUUUAUACUAAAGUAGUAUUAGUUAUGUUCUUGAAAUUUAAAAAAUUUGGCGGUAUUUUAGUCUAUUUAGAGGAAUCUGUUCUAUAAUCGAUAAUCCACGAUGGACCUUACUUAUAUUUGUAUUCAGUUUAUAUACCGUCGUUAUAAGAAUAUUUUUUAAAAAUAAUAAUUUUCAAUAUUUUUUAUAAAAAUUUAUAUCAGAUCAANGGUGUAGCUUAUGUAUAAGUAGUUAUGGAUUACAAUAAAUUUAUUUAUGGAUUUAUAAAUGAAAAUUUAUAAUGAAAUUGGAUUUAAAUGUAAAAUUAUAUAGAUUAAUAAUUUGAU
rnacentral:rRNA from 1 species